UGAAUUUUCUGCUGCCACCAUUCAGCAGCAGCUAGGCUAUGCCUCUCAUGAUCAUGACACGUAGUGGAAAUUUUCCUGGCUUCUAUACAUCAUCAUCUCUGCCUGGUUAAGUAAAGGGCACUGAACAAGUGAAGCUGUGCUGAAAACAACAGUGGCCAAGGCAGAGAUAUUCUUAUACCUCAACCCGUUGUGCAGAUGGAAGUCUGGCCAAAAAACCAUAAAGCAUCAAGUCUGACUAUUGGUUUGCCAUGGCUCUUUGAAACAGUUACUCUUGUCCUCAUUGUAGAGAUGGCGAUACUAAGGCAGAAUAUGGCUAGCCUGGACUUCUUUUUGUGGAGACUGGAUUCCAAGAUUGAAAGUAGAAGCUACAUGUUUUCUCCAAGCAGGGCUUUCAGACUUCACUUCUGCAACAUUUUAUUGAUGAAAGCAAGUCACAAGACCAGACUGAUUCAAGGGGUGGAGAAAUAGACCCUACUUCUUGAUGGAGGGAGGAGUAGAGUUACAUUGCAAAGGGAUCUGGACAAAAAAAGGAGUGAUUUAUUAGGAAUCAUGUUUAACAAUUUACCACAAUCCCCAGCGCAACUGCCUGUUAGCUGGAUCCAGAAAUGUCUACGACUACUGCAAUGCCACUUGGCCUUAGGGGUGAUGUGACCCAGUGUAAAGAGAUGGUGGUCUUAACCAAUCACAGUUAAGAUAGUUUAGUUUUGGAAGGUAUAAAAAAUAUGUAACAACAUGAAUGCACUUUUAGGGUCAGACAAGAGACUUGGAAAGAGCCUGCAAAAUGGAGGAGCCCUGAGGCCUAAGUCUCAUGAGUGUCAAUGCUUACCUGUAUCUAGACACUGGCAUCCCCCUUUUGAUAAGGCCAAGAUUGAUUGUUUUCCUUUUCUACCUACCCUAUAUCUAAUCCAUGUACAAACACUGUUGACACACAAAAGAACCCUAAAUUCAACAAUCUGUGAAGAAUUUUUGCACUAACAUGUUAGUUCAAAAACUCAACAUUGCUUGCUAAGACUAUUGCAAUAAACUCCUCUAUGAUCCCCUAAUUUGAUUCUUGCUCCUCUUAUUUUUUACACAGUCAUCAGAGUAAAUCUUUUCAAAGGUAAAUUGGAUUUUAUGACUUUU
rnacentral:lncRNA from 10 species